UUUACUGCCCGCCAGGCCCGAAGGCUCACCGGCUCCCCCUCCCCACGCCCCAGCACCCAGGGCCUUGGCCCCAGGAGCCCACAGCGGCAGAGACUCCCAGGAAACGCGAGUGAGCCGCCUUCCGGAACCUGGCGCACAUCACUUUCAAAACGCAGCGGGGCCUGGAACCAAGGCCAAGGCCGCCUCUUUCGGUUUCACUUGGACGCUUGUUCUUGCUGGGGAUGGAGGUCAAUCACAAGGCUCCGGGAAGCACGGGCACGAGUCACAAAGCAGGUCACUGAGACAGCGGCACCAGGCCCGCCAGUCCGAUCUGCUGACCCCAGCCAGGGCCCAGCACUCCCAUGCCCUGCACUGCACGAGGCUGCCCGGGACAGUGCCUGCAGGGGAGAUGACUCGGCAAUGACUCUCUGGGCCCCUCCUCCCACCCCAUCACUCAUGGGGUUGUCCAGGGCAAGAGGCCCAGGGGAAUCCGCAGGAGAGCCAGGGCACAGGGCACGAGUGCGGCCCCAGGCUGAGGCCUCCGUGGGACUGAGCUUCAGGGCCACGCUGCCAUGCUGAGCUCUCACGGGGCCUCCGCCUGGACCACCAGGCACCCUCAGGCUGACUGGCCCCUGUGUGCCACCCAUGUGGCCCAAGGCCUGUCCCCCUCAUGCCAAGAGCCCCGUAGGGCCCCUUCGAGUAGAAUGCAGCAUUCCCUGCCCCUCCGAAGCAGUGAGUGGUUCAGGGGCAGAGCUGGGCCUGGGCGAGGGGCCCCCGGGGGGUGGGGUGAUGCCAUCACUGUUGCCGUCCUACGGGUUGAGACAGGACAGCUGCCCAUCACCCCUUGAUGCAAGCUGGCUGCAGGCUGCCUGACCAGUUCCCGGGGACACCGUGCUCAACCCUGUGGUGACAACUGGGGAUUCCGAAGGACAGGGAGGUCUUACUUUCUGUUAAACACUUUUAUUUUCCCUGAGAUACAAUCCACACCAGGAGGGGCACCUGUCCGGAGCAUAUGACUCAACGGUUUCAACGUAUUCUAAGGCAGACCACCACAGCUUCUAAUUCCAAAACAUUCCGCUCCCCCAAAACACAGCCGUGUCCCCAACAGCAGUCACUCCCCCGCCUCUACAGCCCCUGCAACCACACGCCCACUUCUCUUCUGUGGACUGGCCUGCUCUGGACACGUGACCACACGUCUACCCCCCAUCUGUGGACUGCCCUGCUCUGCACACGUCACAUGAACGGAGUCACGUGCCGUGGCCUUUUGCGUCUGGCGUCUCUCCGCAAGCACGUCUCCGCAGAGCAUCCAUGCCGGGCGCACAGACGACAGAUCUAAUCUCCGCCUCCUCACGGGGCCCAGGAGGCCCAGGGCGAGAGCUGAUGGGGCCCACGCAUCCGAAAUCCCCGUCUUGGCCAGAACCCCAGAAUGUUAAUCAGUUCAUCCAGGGAGACACCCACCGUCCCUGCCCCAGCACCAUCCGUGCCCGGCGUCCCUGGAGGCGCUGGGUGGGCUCUCCACAACGCCUGCCCCCCACGCCCCAGGUCAGUCUGGGGAUUGGUCCCUCCAGGCCCCACCUGCCUUAUUCUUCGGGACUCUGGGGUGGUGGGAAGAGUGCCCUACGGGGGACAGGACCCACCAGGAGGCCUGCGCUUCCCCUUCACCGACACACGCUGCUCCCGGGCCCCACUCGGGCCAUCUCAGCCCGCUACCCUCCCUCCCGCCUGUCCCUGGAAGCCGGGUUUGAAUGCGACCCGCACUCCCACCCCCAACACGCUCUGCAGACUCCGCCCAGACGGCCCCGGGGUCACCUAAUAUCAGCAAGCCCCCAUCCCAAACCGGGGGACCUCCAUGCAGAAACCGAAAAACCAUCUGCCCCAGAAGAGAAGUCGGAGGCCCCAGGAGCGGGAGGGGCGGGGAGCAAGGGGAGGGAGGGAGACAGGGCUGCGCUGCGGGGCCGAGAAGGCAAGGGUCCUGGGACCGGGGACAAGGAGGAGGAAGGGGCACGAACGCCCGAGGAGCCUGGAGUCAGGAAUCGGGGCGGCGGGAGAGACCGGGGGUCACUCCCAGGAAGGGGUCGAGGUCACGAGGCGCAUGGAGUCGAGAGUCCCCAAAAGGGAAGGCCAGGAUACCGAGGAAAAGCGGGUGCGGGGUCACCAAGGGGCUCGGGGGCACCGAUGAGUGCGGGGUCAAGGGUUACCAGAAAACGAAAGGUCGGGGGUCACCAAGCUGCGCGGUACAGGGAGUCACCCGGAAGAGCGGGAAGGAAAGGUUGGGAGGGUUGUCGUGGAAGAACCCCCUCCAAGCCUCUGCAUGUGCCACGUCCCCCACUGGGGCUCACUCACCCGAGACUUUUAAACUGAGACUCCCUCAAAAGCUACUAAGACGAUCACCAGCCGGGCGCAGUGGCUCACGCCUGUAAUCGCAGCACUUUGAGAGGCUGAGGCGGAUGGAUCACUUGAGGUCGGGAGUUUGAGGCCAACCUGGACAAUAUGAUGAAACCCCGUCUCUACUAAAUAUACAAAAAUUAGCUGGGCGUGAUGGCGGGCACCUGUAAUCCCAGCUACUCAGGAGGCUGAGGCAGUAGUAUCGCUUGAACCUGGGAGGUAGUUAUUGCAGUGAGCUGAGAUCGCACCACUGCACUCCAGCCCGGGCAACAGAGUGAGACUCCAUCUCAAAAAUAAAUAAAUAAAUAACGAAAUAAAAUAAAAUGAAAUAAAAUCAUCA